CAACCAUCUGCACCGAAAAGACUAUUCCAUGCUUCCGUAUUGUAGCAAUCUGCUACGGCUGGAAUAGACUGCCUAAAAUUCCCAUUGUGAAACCUCCUAACACGACAGAUAUGAGUGUGCACUAGAAAGAGAGAGAGAGAGAGAGAGAGAGGGAGAGGGAGGGAGAUUGCAAGAGUAACCUGUAGAUAACCAGGAUUGGAAGCAAUUACAAACAGCUUCCCUACCUAUCACAGCAGAGAGUAAGUGGCCCGAGAUGUGUACAAUUAGUACACGAAUGUUGUCACUAAAUAGCCCUCUAUAUGUUACUGGGUUAUACAAGUUCUGUUACACAUCACCUGCCACAUGUUCGAAAGGUCGAACUACCCAAAACUUGACAAAUGACAAUUACAACUUCAAGACUGCUCUGCGUU